rnacentral:sRNA from 1 species
CUUUAACGCAAAACUCCCAUCUCCCGCAAGCCAUUUCAAAUUCUUUCUCGUCAAAAACUUCGUUCCCGUUCGAAAAUUUCCUUGCCAUUCAAAACCAUGUCGUAAUUGUGUUGUGCUUGUCGUCUCUAACCUCAUUGCAGUUCCACACAGAAGUUUAGAAAAAUCAGGCAAGUUUAUUUGAGGUUGUCCAGUCGGUUUCACAUAAAGGACAUGGUGCUUGAUUGAUUGAAGUUGGGUUCAGAGUCAUUGCUUCCUCAGUACUCCUCAUACUUCAUAUCCCAAAGUAAAUUUAAAAUUUGGUCGGAUGCGGGCUUAUGAAAUGUUGAUAUCGCUUAGUCGAUGUUGAGGAAUGAGAGUAGGAUAGGAUAAUUGUAUUGUAUAAUAGAAUACUUUUGUAUAACCAUUGUACUUAUACAUUUUUUUCAUUACCUAUCAAUGAAGCAUUAUUUUUGAAACAAUUUUGUAUUUUUCAAUUUAUUAUUAUUUUCU